rnacentral:rRNA from 1 species
UACGAAGGGGGCUAGCGUUGCUCGGAAUCACUGGGCGUAAAGCGCACGUAGGCGGCUUUUAAGUCAGAGGUGAAAUCCUGGAGCUCAACUCCAGAACUGCCUUUGAUACUGGAGAGCUGAGUCCGGGAGAGGUGAGUGGAACUGCGAGUGUAGAGGUGAAAUUCGUAGAUAUUCGCAAGAACACCAGUGGCGAAGGCGGCUCACUGGCCCGGUACUGACGCUGAGGUGCGAAAGCGUGGGG